GUAAUUUAAACAGUAAUACUUAUACUAAAAUUGUAACGAUUCAAAGAAGAUUAGCAUGGCCCCUGCGCAAGGGUGACACACAAAUUCGCGAAGCGUUCCAUAUUCUU